AACUAAUACAAUACAUUUUACGAACAACUGGUGUGCUGAAAAUGAAAGUUAAUUUCUCUACGAGUUUGGGACAAAAGAACCUGAAUUUUCAACGGAAAAUGAAAGAAAGGAAUACAAAGAGAAAAGAGUCACUAAAUAUAAAAAGGAAGUACCUUCAUGUUGCCAUUAAAAGCGCUAGCUGCAGCUUGGCUUGCCAUUUCUCUUUUUCUCUCUACACAAGUAAAUGAUUUCUCGUUUCUCGACUACAAAUCAUUCGCAUGUGUUAAUAGCAAAAGAAAAUAAAUGAUUUAUCAAACCACGCAUAGAAACAAAAACAUUGAAAACAAAAUUAAAAACCAAAAGAAGGGGUCUAAGCCGGAAACCUUGAAGAUAAGUAGGGUUUGUUUGGAAAAGAAAGAAAAAAAGAA
rnacentral:lncRNA from 1 species